rnacentral:piRNA from 1 species
UCAGCUUUGCUUUUAAAUUAGUUGGGAUCC